rnacentral:rRNA from 1 species
UACGGCGGGUGCGAGCGUUAUCCGGAAUCACUGGGUUUAAAGGGUGCGUAGGCGGCCCGGUAAGUCAGUUGUGAAAGCCCCUUGCUUAACGAGGGAGGUGCGAUUGAUACUGUCGAGCUUGACUCGGGAUGAGGCAGGCGGAAGGUGGCAUGUAGCGGGGAAAUGCAUAGAUAUGCCAUAGAACACCGAUUGCGAAGGCAGCCUGCUGGGCCUGUAUUGGCGCUGAGGCACGAAAGCGUGGGGAGCAAACAGG